CCUACGGGUGGCAGCAGUGAGGAAUAUUGGUCAAUGGUCGUAAGACUGAACCAGCCAAGUAGCGUGCAGGAUGACGGCCCUAUGGGUUGUAAACUGCUUUUAUGCGGGGAUAAAAUGCGUCACGUGUGAUGUUUUGUAGGUACCGCAUGAAUAAGGACCGGCUAAUUCCGUGCCAGCAGCCGCGGUAAUACGGAAGGUCCGGGCGUUAUCCGGAUUUAUUGGGUUUAAAGGGUGCGUAGGCGGAAUGCCAAGUCAGCGGUAAAAUCGCGGGGCUCAACCUCGCCCCGCCGUUGAAACUGGCGUUCUUGAGUGGGCGAGAAGUAUGCGGAAUGCGUGGUGUAGCGGUGAAAUGCAUAGAUAUAACGCAGAACUCCGAUUGCGAAGGCAGCAUACCGGCGCCCAACUGACGCUGAAGCACGAAAGCGUGGGUAUCGAACAGGAUUAGAUACCCCUGUAGUC
rnacentral:rRNA from 1 species